rnacentral:rRNA from 1 species
UAAGGAAUAUUGGUCAAUGGACGCAAGUCUGAACCAGCCAUGCCGCGUGAAGGAUGAAGGCCCUCUGGGUUGUAAACUUCUUUUAUCUGGGACGAAAUGCAUCUUUUCUAAGGUGUUUGACGGUACCAGAGGAAUAAGCACCGGCUAACUCCGUGCCAGCAGCCGCGGUAAUACGGAGGGUGCAAGCGUUAUCCGGAUUCACUGGGUUUAAAGGGUGCGUAGGUGGGAAUGUAAGUCAGUGGUGAAAUCUCCGUGCUUAACAUGGAAACUGCCAUUGAUACUAUGUUUCUUGAAUUAUCUGGAGGUCAGCGGAAUAUGUCAUGUAGCGGUGAAAUGCUUAGAUAUGACAUAGAACACCAAUUGCGAAGGCAGCUGGCUACAGGUAUAUUGACACUGAGGCACGAAAGCGUGGGGAUCAAACAGGAUUAGAUACCCUGGUAGUCCACGCCCUAAACGAUGGAUACUCGACAUUUGUGAUACACAAUAAGUAGU